UGAACGCUAGCUACAGGCUUAACACAUGCAAGUCGAGGGCAGCAUGGUCUUAGCUUGCUAAGGCCGAUGGCGACCGGCGCACGGGUGAGUAACACGUAUCCAACCUGCCGUCUACUCUUGGACAGCCUUCUGAAAGGAAGAUUAAUACAAGAUGGCAUCAUGAGUCCGCAUGUUCACAUGAUUAAAGGUAUUCCGGUAGACGAUGGGGAUGCGUUCCAUUAGAUAGUAGGCGGGGUAACGGCCCACCUAGUCUUCGAUGGAUAGGGGUUCUGAGAGGAAGGUCCCCCACAUUGGAACUGAGACAUGGUCCAAACUCCUACGGGAGGCAGCAGUGAGGAAUAUUGGUCAAUGGACGAGAGUCUGAACCAGCCAAGUAGCGUGCAGGAUGACGGCCCUAUGGGUUGUAAACUGCUUUAUAAGGGAAUAAAGUGAGUCUCGUGAGACUUUUGCAUGUACCUUAUGAAUAAGGACCGGCUAAUUCCGUG
rnacentral:rRNA from 1 species